rnacentral:rRNA from 1 species
GACGAACCGUGCGAACGUUGUUCGGAAUCACUGGCAUAAGGGCGCGUAGGCGGCUCGCGAGGUCGGGGGUGAAAUCCCACAGCUUAACUGUGGAAGUGCCUUCGAUACCGGCGGGCUGGAGGAAGGUAGGGGUGCGCGGAACUUCUGGUGGAGCGGUAAAAUGCGUUGAUAUCAGAAGGAACGCCGGCGGCGAAAGCGGCGCACUGGACCUUUCUGACGUCUGAGGCGCGAAAGCCAGGGGAGCAAACGGG